GAUUUCUGGAAGAAUAUCUGUCCAAAAUGAUUUCCCCACUGGACCAUGGCCUCUGCCAUUUACUGGAAACUUGCUGCAGAUCAAUAUGCGGAAUCCCUUGAAGAGAUUCGAAAAGGUAAGGUUCCUUUUUCUCCACCACCACCACCACCACCACAGUGAUCUAAUAAAAGAGCUGAUGGAGAACAAAGGAAGGUUGACUACCAUUUGCAGGAGUAAGUGCAAUUGGAAGAAAGGGCACAGCAGGAGGGUGUGCCUGGAGCUCACUUUUUUGCAUGAGACUAAAUAUUUGCUUUCCACUGGGCAUGGGGAAAGUCACUUGGAAGCUAUAGCAGGUGGCAUUUUACUACCUGCUAAGUUACAUAUCAAUUUGACUCAAGGAAAUAACUGAGCAUCUGUCUGCAAUGAAAGUGUGUACAGUGGUACCUCUGGUUACAUACACUUCAGGUUACAUACGCUUCAGGUUACAUACACUUCAGGUUACAGACUCCGCUAACCCAGAAAUAGUACCUCGGGUUAAGAACUUUGCUUCAGGAUGAGAACAGAAAUUGCGCAGCAGUGGCGCAGCAGCAGCAGGAGGCCCCAAUAGCUAAAGUGGUGCUUCAGGUUAAGAACAGUUUCAGGUUAAGAAUGGACCUCCGGAACGAAUUAAGUACUUAACCCGAGGUACCACUGUAUGUGUUUUGUAAGGUUUUUCUUUUUUAUUUUUUUAAUGUAUUUUUAUUAAAUAUUUUCUUGGGUUACAAAAGUAUGUGCAAUGUUUCUCUCUUUUUUUCCUUCAAGUAACAUUUUUUACAGAUUUUUGACAGAAGAUGGGUACAGUUUGUGGGGGAAUGGCUUCAUGAGCCAAUUUAGGACAUAUACCAGUUCUAAAUAGUCCCAUUGUGGGCUGAAGGUUUCCCACCACUGAGACAGUGGAAGGCAUAUCCCUCUUAUAUUUAUUUACAAUUCAAGGUCAUGUUCCUUCCUGUCUUUGGGUUUUUUAAAAAAACAAAACAAAAACACCAACAACACAAAAUUACAAGUUUAUUCUCAGAAGGAUUUGUUGGUUUCACCACUCUAUAGACUUAGGUCAUUCUGUAAUCAAGAGCUGUGAUAAGUAUCAGCUGACUCUGACCCUCACCCCCAAAGAACACUCUUUUGUAUAACACACCAGCUUGUUAAUGCUGGAUCUGGAUUAGUGAUAGGCAGUGGCAAGGGGGAAGUGGCUGUCAUAGCUGAUGUUUAUCAUGACAUUUCUAUCCCACCUUUCUUCCAAGGAGCCCAAGGUGGAGUACAUGGUUCCACUCAAGGUUAUGUUGAGAGAUAGUGACUGGGCCCAUGGUUGCUUUGUGAGCUUCAUGACUGAGUGAGGAUUUGAAUUCUGGUCUCCAAAGUCCUAGGUUGUUUUGGGUUGGGGGUUACCUGAUUUUUUGUCUGUGUUUUAUCUGAGGGAGGCCUUUUAACCUGUAUUUUGGGUAUUCUGAGCAUCACCAGUUCAGUAUUUUGGGCAUUCUGAGCAUCACCAGCUUUUCUUCCAUAAAAUGAGUAUUUUGUGGUACCCACAGCCAUUUCUGGCAUUACUGAAUGUGCUCCCAGGCCUCAAAAAGGUUGGGAACCUUUCGUUAAAGCUAUUGAUGCCUACAAGGCACGCUGGCUACACACAACCUCAAGGUUCAGCGUCAGUUGGUUAUUUAGUACCAGUUUCAGGGAUUGGUGGAAGGAUUGCUAUCAAGCUUUGCUUGUGGGUUGCAAAAGAACCUGGCUUGCCACUGUGGAAAAGAGGUUGGUGGACGAAGAUGAAUCUCUGGUCUCCUUCCUGUGUUUUCUUCAAAGAUGCUGGAGGAGGAGAGCUUAAGUGACUACAACAUACACACACAUAAUGACUAUGGGAUUUUAUUUCUAGUGGUAACUAAGACUGUUGGUCCUCAGAGAAAUGCCAAAGGGAAAUGGACACUGUCAUUGGCAAGGGUGCAUGCCUGAAAUAUGAAGAACGGGAGAACAUUCCCAAACCAAUACAGUCAUCCAUGAAAUCCAGUGUUUUUCAAGCAUAGUGCCCCUGGGAAUACCCCAAACACCCAUCCAAGACACAGAGGUUUGGGGGUACGCAAUUCCCAGGGUAAGUUCUGCAACAUUUGAAUGUGAACCAUGUUGGCGUUCCCUGUGCACGCAGAUGGCAGGCAUUAUGAGUUAUGUGUAGCUGUUUGAUUAUUUAAACCAUUUAUCUAAACACAGAGGUGGCACAUCUUAUUUUCCACCUGAGGAUAUAUGGAAAGGUGCUGCCCUGUGUGCCCCCUGCCCCUUGCCACCUCUGCCAAACCUCACUUACUGGGGCCAUGCAGCUACAGCUUCUGGCUUCCGGUGAGCUCCCGCAAAGGCCUCUGCAGGCCUCAUGCCACCUCCCUGAGACCUGGUAAACAGGAUUGCUGUUACAUCUCCCUGGAACCUGGAAGCUGCCACAGCUGCUUCUCCUCACUUCUCUGGCUGUGGUGGGUGACACACCUGCAUAGGAAUCCUUUGGAUUCUGCCGCCUGAGGCACCUCACUCAGUCUGCCUCAUGGAUGGGAUGGCCCUGAUCUAACAGAAAGCAACUGUAGGAGGCUGGGAUCCUACACCCAGCAGUGAUGGUGGGGAAGGGGCUAUUUUUUCCCCUCUCAAGGAUCACCGAGUGUGUAGAUUCAGACACUUUGCUUAUCUACAAGUUCUGGGUAAAAAUCAGAUCCAAUAAAAAUAUAGCACAUCUUCUUGAUCUGGUUUUUCACCAUGGCAGUCCUGAAAAGCAAAAGAUCCAUUAUUUUUAUGGUUUAGGCAACAGAGAUAGCUGUGUUCUGCAAUUUGGUGGUGGGUGGUGAAAAGAGUCUGCAGUUUCAAGGGGAUCCAUUCUCUCUCUCUCUCUCCCUCUCUCUCUCUCUCUCUCUCUCUCUCUCUGUGUGUGUGUGUGUGUGUGUUUCUUUGCAUCUGUUUCUCAUUUGCUCCGGCUUCCCUCCUGCACUUUCAUUCAUUCUGCUUCCAAUUUGAGCCUUGAAAAGCACAUUAGAGCUGAAAGAAGUAGGAAAGCGUAUUGCACUUUGGACUUUAUCACUCCCCUCUAAGGACUCAGCCAUACAGCUUCACAUAAAACAUUUUAAGUUUGUUGUAAAAUGCAAUAUACAAAUGUGGCACUAGAUGGCGAGAGUGAGCUAUGGCAAAUUCAAUAUAUUUUUCAAAACGUUUUUUAAAUAAGCACUUUCACAACAUUUUUAAUAUGUGUGUGGAUUCCACCUAUGUAUCCUUCAAGAGGAGGAAAGAAAAGUAACUCACCAUUUCAUUUCCCCUUAUCUCAUGAUGAACAGGGCAAAAAGAGGGGAGCUCAGAGGCUUUGUGGGUGCCAGGGAAAGACCACAUGGGCACCAUUGCCAACCACAACAUUAAUGCUUCCUUCUGUAGUUCUCUUGUGUUUCCUGUGUUUCUCUUUUCUUUUUCUUUUUGCAGGGAACCACAGUGCUAACCAAUAUUGCUUCUGCCCUUAAUGAUGAGUCUCAGUGGAAGUACCCAUUUGAGUUCAAUCCCCUCCAACUUCCUGAACAAAAAAGGAGAGUUUAUAAAACAGGAAGCCUUUCUCAGUAGGUAAAUUAUUUCUGUCUUUCUAACUUCUAAUCAUUUCUUCAGCAAUGGCAGAAAAAUGUGUCCCAACGAUCACAUAAUUCACCUAUGGGACACCCUGUACCUGCAUCUAUGAAAGACCUAGAACAUGUUUAUUUACAGGAUUUUCACAUUGUCCAUUAACAAUAAAUCGCUCCCACAGGAGGCAGUGAUAUCCAUCAACUUGACUGGCUUCAAAAGAGGAUUAGACAAAUUCAUGGAGGCGAGAGGUAUGAAUGACUGCUAGCCAUAAUGGCUAUGCUCUCCCUUCACUGCUGGAGGCAGCAAUGCUUCUGAAUACCAGUUGCUGAAAAACACAGGUGGGAAGAGAAGAAGAAGAAGAGUUUGGAUUUGAUAUCCCACUUUAUCAGUACCCGAAGGAGUCUCAAAGCGGCUAACAUUCUCCUUUCUCUUCCUCCCCCAUAACAAACACUCUGUGACGUGAGUGAGGUGAGGCCGAGAGACUUCAGAGAAGUGUGACUGGCCCAAGGUCACCCAGCAGCUGCAUGUGGAGGAGCGGAGACGCGAACCCGGUUUGCCAGAUUACGAGUCUACCGCUCUUAACCACUACACCACACUGGUUUAGUGCUCUUGUGCUCAUUUCCUGCUUGUGGGUUUACCACAGGCAUCUGGCUGACCACUGUAAGAACAGGAUGCUGGACUAGAUGGGACACUGACCUAAUCCAGCAGGCUCUUCUUAUUGUUCUUCAGUUAUCUGGGCAAUGUAUAUUUGAACAUGUGCACACACACCCCAUAAAAAGGUAAAAAUACACUAUGAACGGGGGGGACCCCACUUCAAGGAAACCAAUGUUAUGUUUUUAUUGUACACCACAUAUACUACAGUAUUAAAUGGGAUAUAAAUUAUUAAAAUAAAAUAAAAAAUUGAAUCAAGUAUGCAAUAGAGGAAACAGAAUGUCUGAGGACUAAAAAGUGGACAAGCAUGAGUUUUCAUUUCUUCAGGGGAAUGAACGUGUCAGUUGGCACAUGGCAGCCAAACAAAACUGCACUCCCAAGCCAGUCCUGUUUUGUUUUUGUUGCUUGUUUAUUUGUGCUAUAUUUUUCCACAUGCACCUUGGUUUGACAAGGCUUCCAAGGUGGCUCACAAAAAAUACAAAAUAAAGAAUUAUUUUAAAAUGCUACAAUUGAUAUCACAAUUAAAUCAAAAUUCUUUCCAUUUAUUUCUUAUUCACUUGUAGAUUUAUGAAGUGCUUCAUAACCCAAAGUCCUCAAAAUGGCUGACAAUUUG